rnacentral:rRNA from 1 species
AGCGGAAAGGCCCUUUCGGGGGUACUCGAGCGGCGAACGGGUGAGUAACACGUGAGUAAUCUGCCCUUGGCUUCGGGAUAGCCACCGGAAACGGUGAUUAAUACCGGAUACGACACAUCACUGCAUGGUGCGUGUGUGGAAAGUUUUUUCGGCCAGGGAUGUGCUCGCGGCCUAUCAGCUUGUUGGUGGGGUAAUGGCCUACCAAGGCUUCGACGGGUAGCCGGCCUGAGAGGGUGACCGGCCACACUGGGACUGAGACACGGCCCAGACUCCUACGGGAGGCAGCAGUGGGGAAUAUUGGACAAUGGGCGGAAGCCUGAUCCAGCAACGCCGCGUGAGGGAUGACGGCCUUCGGGUUGUGAACCUCUUUCAGCACAGACGAAGCGCAAGUGACGGUAUGUGCAGAAGAAGGACCGGCCAACUACGUGCCAGCAGCCGCGGUAAUACGUAGGGUCCGAGCGUUGUCCGGAAUUAUUGGGCGUUAAGGGCUCGUAGGCGGUUUGUCGCGUCGGGAGUGAAAACACCGGGCUUGAGGCGGUGCUGGCUUUCGAUACGGGCAGACUAGAGUGAUGUAGGGGAGACUGGAAUUCCUGGUGUAGCGGUGAAAUGCGCAGAUAUCAGGAGGAACACCGAUGGCGAAGGCAGGUCUCUGGGCAUUAACUGACGCUGAGGAGCGAAAGCAUGGGGAGCGAACAGGAUUAGAUACCCUGGUAGUCCAUGCCGUAAACGUUGGGCACUAGGUGUGGGGGACAUUCCACGUUUUCCGCGCC